UCACAAAGCUGUUGUGAUGUGUCGAUUUGAGUUCAUAUCACAGCCAGCUUUGAUGAGC
rnacentral:pre_miRNA from 1 species